CAUUUAUUAGAUAAAAAGCCAGUUCAUGCUUUUAUAGUAUGAAAAUUGGUGAUUUAUAAUAACUUAGCAAAUCGCAAAGUGAAAACAGGCGAUAAAUCAUUCAAGUUUCUGACCUAUCAGCUUUCGACGGUAUGGUAUUGGCUUACCGUGGCAGUGACGGUUAACGGGGGAUUAGGGUUCGAUUCCGGAGAGGGAGCCUGAGAAACGGCUACCACAUCUAAGGAAGGCAGCAGGCGCGCAAAUUACCCAAUUCUAACAGUUUGAGAGAGGUAGUAACAAGAAAUAACAAUACAAGGCAGUUAAAAUGCUUUGUAAUUGGAAUGAUAGAAAUUUAAACCCUUUUUAAAGUAUCAAUUGGAGGGCAAGUCUGGUGCCAGCAGCCGCGGUAAUUCCAGCUCCAAUAGCGUAUAUUAAAAUUGUUGCAGUUAAAAAGCUCGUAGUUGAAGUUCUGCUGAAAGUAACCGGUCUGCUUUUAAUAAAAGUGGUAUCUUGGUAUGUAUUUAGCAAUGAUGUCCUUUGAAGUGUUUUUUACUUUAUUGUAAUAAAGCAUAUUCAGGACUUUUACUUUGAGAAAAUUAGAGUGUUUCUAGCAGGCUAACGCUUUGAAUACUGCAGCAUGGAAUAAUAAGAUA
rnacentral:rRNA from 1 species